rnacentral:lncRNA from 1 species
CUAUAAACGAUGAUUACUUUGCCCUCUCAGUAACAGUUGUUUGUUACGCAUCAAUUCUACGAUCCUAGAUUGUCAAGGUACCUAGGAAUGACUCGUUGUCCAACACGAAUGGGUUACCUUUAGUGGGCUUAAUUCACAAAGGCUUUUGAGGAACAUUUCAGUUAGUCCAAAAUCAAUAUAUGGAGGAAAGAUGAAUAUUGAAAUUCAGUCUGAUGAUCUAUGUUCGGAAGCAUAUGUCAUGUUCAACAUGUUUGUGGGACUAUGCGUCCCCAGAAAAAAAUGAAUGAGACCAAAAAAGAAAUGCUAAGUCAAGAUCAGGCACCUAACCAGCACCUUUUGAGAUACAGAUCCAUGUGUCUGGGCCAAACCCUAUCCAUUUAAUGACCGAGAGUUAAGUAAGGUGGUGUCGUUGGAACAUAAAAGGUCCAAGAGGUCAACCGGGAUUGAAUCAGGCCCCACUCAAUUCAGACCCAAUUCAAUAUGUUUAACCGCAAGUUGGGUGUGCAGCCAGCAGAUGGCUAAAAGGAAAGACAAGAGGAAACAUAUUGGUAGGCAACUACGCCAAGUGGUCCAAAAGACACAUCAAAGGAACAGAAAGUGAGGAGACUUGGGUAGCAGACAACUAUAGGUAACUAGCACAGUUAGUAAAAGAUUUUUCUUUUUUAAGGAAAAAAGCAAGGAAAAUCCUGCAUUUAAUCGAUGAACAGUUAAGUAACAUGACCUAACCUUCCUCUUCUUUUAAAAGGAAAGAAUUUUUAUUAUGGACCUUACCGAUAGGUUUAAGUUUCCUAGUCUCAUGAAUUUAACUGGGCUACACCUGUGAUAGCUAGCCUAUUUCAAAUAAUAUAGUCCACUAAAAUGUAACCAAAAUCAGAAGCACAGCACCACUAGUAUUGAAUGCCUAGGAUAGAGAACUUAGAAAUAGCAGCAAAGCUUACUACAAAUGUAUUGUUCUAACUUUCAAGCCCUGGUUCUGAAUACACGACAAAAGUUUAGCAAAUGUUAUAAAUCAAUAAUGACUUGAAUCAAUAAUGUCGUUUACAAUUUAUUGACCAAUUUAUAGACAAAACACCAUUAUUAAACUGCAUGAGUAGAAUUUUGACAUGACUCAACCAUGGCAUCUACAAUUUACUGAUCAAUCAUGCACCAAGUACCACUAUCAACAUUCCGUGAGUAGAACUUUAGACAAACAAUGUCCAUAUAUGAUUGAAAAAACCUGUCAUAAAAGCAGUCCAUGUCUCCAAUGAAUAAUCCACUUAUUGAUUUUUCUUUUCAAUUUUCAACUAGGACAAAGAAAGCAACAUAAAUCACCCCCAUCAGCAUCUCAAAUUACUUCACGAAAAUCAGAAGGACAAAGAAUUCUCAGAAAAGGCCCAUCUAGUUUGAGAUUUACUCUGCUACUAGAUUUUGUCUUUUUCAUCACAGCAGGCAAAUCUUUUCUCACAGAGUUAACAAUGACCUUCAAUAAUUCAUAGAUCUAAACUUAAGGAACUUGGCCUUUUAAAAUAUGCAGAAGCCAACCCAUAAUGAAGUGCUUAAUCUUCUUGAUGACAUCACAUCUUCACUAAGCUACUCUCGUGUUAGCUUUCAAAGAUAUUAAAUAAUAGGUAGAUAUCUCUCACUAACACCUUUUAGUUGUUAUCUUGAUUGCUAGAACAUGGCUGAAAACAAGCUAUUUCUUUCUUUUCCAAGGGAAUUAGUA